UACCUGGAGCCUUCCCGCCCCGCGCCGGGCGCCUGCCGUCUGGUUUUCGCUGGAGCUGGUGGGGAAAGGAGGUGGGUGAGUCCGACGGGCGCGCGACUCCAGGUGACGCUUGCCGCUUCCCGGUCUCUCAGGCUCGUGGCGGGGUGGAGGCUGCAGUCGCCCCGAGUCGGCCGCAGACGGGGCGUGCAGCCCUAGGAAAAGUGCGACAGUCGACCGGGGACGUCGCCUGUGGCAUGAUUUGUUUGACACAGAUCUUGAAGAAUAUUGUAUGGUAUUGAAGGAUGGCAGAAGCAGUUUUGAUUGAUCUCUUUGGUUUGAAAUUGAACUCUCAAAACAACUGCCAUCAGACAUUGCUAAAGACAUUGAAUGCUGUCCAAAACCACCAUGCUGACAAGGCCAAGUUUCUUUGCAUAAUAUGUUGCGGUAACAUCAGCUGUGAAAGGGGUGGUGAAAAUGAUAUUUGUGAAUUGGAAACAAGCAAUGGAUUAUUAACUCUCUUGAAAGAAUUUGAGACUGUUAGUAAACCUAGUAUGGCUGCCUCUUUGUAUACCAUUAAACAAAAAAUCGAUGAAAAAAAUCUGAGCAGCAUUAAGGUGAUUGUACCAAUGCACAGAAAGACAUUAAUGAAGGCUUUCAUCGAUCAACUCUUCACUGAGGUUUACAAUUUUGAGUUUGAAGAUUUACAGGUGUCCUUGAAGGAUGGCCUUUUGAAACAGUCCACUGAAAUAAACAUGAUCACAGCUCAUGAACUUGAAGAAAUCCAGAAUGAAAUAGAAACAUACUUAAGGAGUCUGCCAGCUCUGAAUGGAGAAUUAGCUAUUAUCACAACUCCGUCGAUCCCAGAUAUUUUCAUACAUGGAUUUACUACAAGAACUGGUGGGAUAUCUUACAUACCAACUCUUAGCUCAUUCAAUCUCUUCAGUAGUUCCAAACGGAGAGAUCCCAAGGUAGUUGUUCAAGAAAACCUACGUAGGUUGGCGAAUGCUGCAGGAUUUAACGCAGAGAAAUUUCACCGAAUAAAGCCUGAUCAUGCCAGUGAAGUCUGGAUUAUGGGAAAGAAGGAACCUGAAUCUUAUGAUGCAAUAACCACAAACCAAAGAGGAGUCACAGUAGCAGCUCUUGGUGCCGACUGUAUACCUAUAGUGUUUGCAGAUCCUGUGAAAAAAGCAUGUGGGGUUGCUCACUCUGGCUGGAAAGGUACUUUGUUAGGUGUUGCUAUGACUACAGUGAAUGCUAUGAUAGCAGAAUACGGCUGUAGUUUGGAAGACAUUAUUGUUGUGCUGGGACCUUCAGUAGGACCUUGCUGUUUUACUCUUCCCAGGGAAUCUGCAAACACAUUCCAUAAUCUCCAUCCUGCGUGUGUCCGACUGUUUGACUCGCCAAAUCCCUACGUUGACCUCCGUAAAGCCACCAGGAUUCUUCUAGAACGAGGAGGAAUUCUUCCACAUAAUAUUCAGGACCAGAGUCAAGAUCUCAACCUCUGUACAUCCUGCCAUCCUGACAAGUUUUUCUCCCAUGUCCGAGAUGGCCUUAACUUUGGUACACAGAUUGGCUUCAUAUCAAUUAGAGAAUGAGGUACUUGAUUGGAUUUUUGAAUAACUGCUUCCUGCCUCCUUCCAAAUUGACAGCAAGAGAGAAAUUUAGCUGAUUGCUUUAUGUAAAAACCAAGAAGAUUACAGUGGAGAAUCCAUCUUUAGGGAUCCCUGUCGAUCUCAAGCAUUUCUUGAUAGGUUUCUUGAACUUUUACGGUUGAGAGCUGAAGGAUCGCAGUUCGAGGCCAGCUGGGGCAAAAA